ensembl:lncRNA
CCCGGCAUGCCCUUCUCCUUGUCUGGAGGCCUCACCCUCCUGUUUUCCGAGUUUUAUAACAGUAUUGUUUGUUGUCCAGCAGAUUAAAUUCUUUGGAGGCUGGUGGAGGGGUAGAAAAGAGGAAAGAAAGCACAAGUAACUUCUUUUAGGGCCCAAAGAUUAAAUGAGUCCCCUUUUGAACAGCAAUGCACCUGCAUGGGGAGAGGCAGCAGCCCGCGGCCCUUCCUCCCUGUGUCUGCCUCUCUUCUCGUCCCAGCCGGCAGGGCGACGCGUGGUCUCAGACCUCCAGGGACACCACGCAGGGCCCAGCUGCAAAGAGGCAACAGCUCAGGAGGGCUGGAGAACGGCUCGCGCCUGAGCGCCCCAUCCAGUAAGAGGCAUGCAGGGUCCGCACUCGCUCACGUUCCUCAGCCCUCCGUCCCCCAGGCCGCUGGAGGCGCCGGAGCCAGUGCCCUGCGCCCUGCACAGCUCCCCACACAUUUCACUCUCGCCAGCCACGCUCAAGACCCAGGCCUCGAGACAACAGAACUGCACGGCACAGAGCGUGUCCAACCCUCGACUGAAAGUGCCUGGAUGAAAGAAGCUGCACCUGCGCCACGCGUGUAGGAUUUUAUUCAUGCCAUUCAUUAUUCCUAACCAUGUGACAGCUAUUCGCACAGCAUUUCCACUGUAGUCGAUGCUGUAAAUCAUCUGGAGAUGAUGCAAAGCACACGGGAGGACAUGUGUAGGUUAAAUGUAAAUGCUCUGCCAUUCCACGGCAGGGACUCAGCACUGUGGCUGUGGGACCCGACCCGCCAGACACUGAGGCACAACUGCGCUCCAUACAGGCGCCCAAGGAAUGAGGGAGUGAGGAGUGGGAAAGAACAGAGAAAAGCCUGUAAGAAACAAGCGUGGUCCUGCGGACUUAGCCAACGCCGCUGGCCCAUAAGGCCCUAGGACGUAAACCUGCACCUGGGGGUAAGACGAAAGCACGCGGGGUUUUCUGUGCUGAAUACAACUCUCACUGAGCCACUGACUUACCUGAGACUUCACGGAAAGCCCAUCUGCACCCAACCCCAGGCAGCCUGUGCCUCCCACAGCUGGGCCUGCCCGAGACUCCUCUGCACCUCCUGCCUUCUGCCUGCAAGCCACGCGUGGUCCUGCCUCUUCCCCAGGACACCACUCCACCCUCACCCACACACACCCACAGCGCCCAUCGAAGGUCCAAGGACUGAGCAGACUCGGCGGGGCCCGCAGGUGCUGUCCAUCAGCCAGCCACAGGUGACGCAUCCCGUGUUGGGCGAGGCCCCAGCAUCCGCACAGAUCUGCUGGGGAAGCCUGAGAUCCCACCCAAGGCCGCAGCGCACCUCUGCACACGCAAAGGUCGGCGGCUGGCAGCGCCUCAGCCCAGAAGCAGAGAAUCCGGACCUUCUGAGGUUCUGUCCUCUCUGAAACACGGAAAAGGAACCAGAGCCAGGUGGACUUCCCGAGGCCCCAGUCCUGCCCCAGCCCCUGGUCAAACCCCACGGAAAUGCAGCUGGACCUCAGGACCUGGACGGGAGGCCCCAAGUCAGGAGGGCCACAUGGCCAGUCCUGCCUUGCUCAAUUCAUCCACAACAGGGCUGGUGUCGCCUGUCUGCACAGGGUUGCCUGAGAAUCAGCAAACGUGAAAAACAAUUCUACCUGGGCACAAGGUGCUGAUUACCAGCCAACGCCCUCCUUCCCUGCCAGAGUGCUCCUCACACCCCUGCACACACUGGGGUGUGCAGGCUCAGUUUUAAAUCCCAGGCACAUGUCCUCCAGCACGCACACCACGUGUCCCAGAGAAAUGUGCUGUUCUUCCACCUCUGUGCGCUGUGGCAGCAGGACAGUGCCCCCUCGGCCCCAGGGGUUCCUACACUUGAGGCCUGGAGAACCGCUGGACACAGGGGACUGAGCUGCCUCGCAGAAGCCAGUCUGGGGUCCUGCCCACUCCAGCCCGGCCGGCCUGGGACCCCGGGUUUUCCCGCCUGGGUUUUAUAUUAGCUCUUUUUGACACUGACUCAAAAUUAAAAUGCCAAAAUGGAAUGCGCAGCUCAGAGCUUUUGUGGUUUUAUUUUUGUUUUUCUUUUUCUUUCAUCUUCUUUUUUAAGGUUGUUUUUCAAUAGAAGGCUGUAAACCACCACCUGGGGCAGAAAGGCUAAAUAUAAAGGAAAACCUCUGGCAUGGGCAGGUCCUCAGGUCCUACACCGAGGCCCGCCCCGGCCCACAGCCAGGAUGGAGCAGCUUCCCCAGAGCAGUCUCGGCACCCUGCCUGCCUUCCCAGCAGCCCCCUGUGCCUGCCUGGCCCCCACAAGCCUUGUCCCUUCGAGCCCUCUGCAGCCACUGCUCCCCUCCCGGGCAGUCCUUCAAAGCCCGCGCCCACCCACCGCCUGUCCUAGCUUGGCCUCUGUAGAACCAGGAUUCCAGCUGCUCUCAAGCUCCACCCCCUUCUCAGAGGACUCAAGCCUCAGCUUUCCUGGUUCUGAGUUUCUGGCUAAGCAAUACCUGCUCUAACAUCCAGGCAAGAUCUCACCUUCAAAGGUGGAACGUCCAGAAAGAUUCUGGUUCAAUUCCCUCUUUUCCUAGAUAAGGAAAUUGAGGCCCAAAGGG